rnacentral:rRNA from 1 species
UACAGAGGGUGCGAGCGUUAAUCGGAAUUACUGGGCGUAAAGCGCGCGUAGGCGGCUUUGCAAGUCGGGUGUGAAAUCCCCAGGCUUAACCUGGGAACUGCAUUCGAGACUGCAUUGCUAGAGUAUGGGAGAGGGAAGUGGAAUUUCCGGUGUAGCGGUGAAAUGCGUAGAUAUCGGAAGGAACAUCAGUGGCGAAAGCGACUUCCUGGCCCAAUACUGACACUCAGGUGCGACAGCGUGGGGAGCAAACAGG